UACGGAGGAUCCGAGCGUUAUCCGGAUUUAUUGGGUUUAAAGGGUGCGUAGGUGGCCUGUUAAGUCAGGGGUGAAAGACGGUAGCCCAACUAUCGCAGUGCCCUUGAUACUGAUGGGCUUGAAUGAACUAGAGGUAGGCGGAAUGUGACAAGUAGCGGUGAAAUGCAUAGAUAUGUCACAGAACACCAAUUGCGAAGGCAGCUUACUAUGGUUUUAUUGACACUGAGGCACGAAAGCGUGGGGAUCAAACAGG
rnacentral:rRNA from 1 species